rnacentral:lncRNA from 1 species
AAAUAAUGAAAUGGGAAAUAUAUGAAUAAAUUAGGUUUUAAGUUGAUACCUAUUUUGGGCACUUUUGACUUGGUUGAGGGAUAAUUGUCUGUUGCUUGCACGUAGGAAUCCCGGUAUGCCUCAAGGGUAGUUUUGUCUUCUUUUGUCAAAAAUCCACGUGUCGCCUUGUGAUUAUUUUUGGCUCCACAAAUGCCCCCACACCUGUUGGGCUGCUUGUAGGAAAGGGCAACAGGUGUAGAGAUUUUCUUGCUUUAGGAAACUUAAGACUGCUUCCUAUUUUGAUGUUGAUUCUCUCUUUAAUAGGAAAUUAGAUCCUUCUAGGAAAGGGAAAUAAAUUUAUCCCAAAGCCUAUUUAAAUCCACCUUAAGUGGGUUAUUAAAUCAACUUUGGAAAACAAUUUAUUCUACCCUACAAGAGAGAGAGAGCUUAGAGGAUAUUUGUUCCCCCUCCUCUAGCAAUCUUCUACAUCUUACCCGUGCAAAGGACCGUCUUUCGUUGAUUUCUUCAUCUUCUCCGUGCCGCCGAUGUAAGAAAAUUUUAAGUUUUCUUGUCUUCUUUUUGGAUAGUGCUGUAG